GUAAAUAAAGUGUUAACGGCUGAC
rnacentral:miRNA from 1 species